CCGUCACCUCUUGGCCGCAAGAGACCAGGAAAGCUCUCCGCCAGACAAACCAGUGAGAAUCUUGUGAAGUUCAUCAAGACAGGGACCAGCAUCCAGGGGCAUCUCGAUGGAAUCGCAGGCAGCCUUCAACCAUACCUGCUUGCUGUGGGAACUCAGAGGAAUGUGAUUCACAAGUACUUCAUUGACAAACAUGCAAGAUCUUGUAAGUCAUCUGGCUCUCUUGCUUGAUUUGAUGAGCUUUUCUAAGCUCACUUUGUCUUUGGCACUUCGUACAACCACGAUCUCGUCAAUGUGUACAACGUCCUUCAGUCAACCAUUUAUGAAAUCGAUAUUGAUACAACCAAGGUGAAUCCUAGAGUUGCAGAGUUGAGGGCUCAGAUGCUGCGUUGAGUAGAUUUUUCUGAUUUGUUUUUCUGUGAGGGCUCCAUUCCAGAAUUAAGGUAUUCUAAAAUGUUGUUUUUCAUUUGUAAGAGCUCUCAGACAAAUACUAAUUUAGUUGUAUGUGUUAAAAUUCAUUGUGACAUGCCAGUUUUUCAUAAGAUCCACCAUGCUGUUGUGAAGGAUGAGACAUUGUUUUUUGUUACUUUUGCACUACAAAACAGUGUCUCAUCGAGCAUUUUAAUGCAGUUCAAGUUUUGUACACAACAGACGGACCUCAUAUUGUGUUUGUCAACGAUCUCUUCUGUCACAAAGCAUUUGAUUUACAGGUGUCUUGCAGUCAUAAUGACUCCAGUUUUUAUAUUGUGCCAUACUGUUUCCUGUGAACACUUAAUAAAGUAAAGGUGUCACUUAA